rnacentral:rRNA from 1 species
GACGAACGCUGGCGGCGCGCCUAACACAUGCAAGUCGAACGAGCGAGAGAGAGCUUGCUUUCUCGAGCGAGUGGCGAACGGGUGAGUAACGCGCGAGGAACCUGCCUCAAAGAGGGGGACAACAGUUGGAAACGACUGCUAAUACCGCAUAAGCCCACGGCUCGGCAUCGAGCAGGGGGAAAAGGAGCAAUCCGCUUUGAGAUGGCCUCGCGUCCGAUUAGCUAGUUGGUGAGGUAACGGCCCACCAAGGCGACGAUCGGUAGCCGGACUGAGAGGUUGAACGGCCACAUUGGGACUGAGACACGGCCCAGACUCCUACGGGAGGCAGCAGUGGGGAAUAUUGCACAAUGGGGGAAACCCUGAUGCAGCGACGCCGCGUGGAGGAAGAAGGUCUUCGGAUUGUAAACUCCUGUUGUUGGGGAAGAUAAUGACGGUACCCAACAAGGAAGUGACGGCUAACUACGUG